UGCGCGUCAAUUUAUCUUUGAGUAGGGUUGCUUACUUUAUCAUUAUCGAGUUUUAGUAUUUUGUACAAUUUUAUCGUUAUCGAAUUUUAAACAUUUUGUGUAUUUUCAGCUUUGUUCUUAUUUGGUGGUUGGAUUCGUUUGGUAAGUAGUUUCAAUUUAUUAGGAUUCAGGAAUUAAUUAUUGUUUGGUGAGUACUGUGUUAUAGUUUAAAGUUGUUUAUAUUGUUUCAAUGUAAUUUGUUUCAUUGCAGGUGGCACCAGAGAGGACAGCCAAGUUGAUGAUGGAUGGAUAAGACGUGGAAAGUUACCAAGUCUGAUUUUAUAGUAUAUAAAUAGGUUAUUUGUUAUUCUUAGGUUAUUGUUUUGUUUGUAGAAUUGUCAUUAGUUUAUUGUUUUGCUUGUUUCCCUUAGUCUGAGUUAUUGUUUGUUUAGACUUUGUUUCAUUUAGUGAAUUUUAGUCUUUUAGGAAUAUUUGUCUUGUUAUUUAGUGUAGUAGUUUAAGUUUAAGAUUGCAUUUGCCUGGGGUAAUUUGAGUUUUAAUAUAUGGCGCAGAGUAUUUGUUUCCUUUGUGGCUAUCGAAUUUUGACAAAUAGCGUACUUUAGGAUGUGUUCGUACUAGGUGUUUAUGUUUGGAUUAUAUUAAGUUUAUUUAUUAUACGCAGGUAGCUAAGUUGUUAUUUAAUAGGUCUUUUAUAAUUUAUAUAUUUUUAUUUUUAUUUUAUUUUAUUUGUUUAUUUAUUUUAUUUAUUUAUUCUUAUUUUUUGUGAGCAAUACGUGCGAGGGUGGGUAUCAAAGUUGCUUCCUUUUGUUUCUUGUUGAAGAUUACUGCUUUGUCAGCUUCUUUUCCUUGCUUAGACUUGUCUUGUCUUCAGUAUUAGCGUUUGAUUUAGUGUUUGGUUGUUAUGUGCUAUAUAUAUUUAUUGUUUGAUUUUUAUUUUUAUUUUUUUAUCUGAUUGUUGUUUUAUUAGUUAUAUUAUUAUUAUUAGUUAGUUAUAGUGUAAUUACUAGUUAGUUGUAUUGUAUUAUAUUAUUAGAUAUUUAGAAUUGCAUUAAUAUGUUGGGGAUGUCAAAUAGUUUACCAGUUUUUAUCGUUUAGGAGGCUUGUAGUUUGUAUUUGUGAGGAAUAUUGUAUAAUAUUGUUAUUAUUAGUUAGUUAUAGUGAAAUUAUGUUAUUCUAGUUAUUUUUUUAUUUUUUGUUUAUUUAUUUAUUUUUAUUUUUUUUUUUUUUUUGUUUUAGUUUAGGUUUUGCAGCGAGCAGCUUGUUGAUUGUAAGUAUAAAUUUGACUAUUUAUGAUUUAGGGGCUUGUAGAUUGUAGAUGUGAGGAUUAUUGUAUACUUUUGUUUUUAUAAGUUAGCUAUAGCGAAUUAUGUUAUUUGUUUGCUGCAGGUAUAUUAU